UACGGGGGGGAGCAAGCGUUUGUUCGGAUUUACUGGGCGUAAAGGGCGCGUAGGCGGUCGUGACAAGUCACUUGUGAAAUCUCCGGGGCUUAACUCGGAACGGUCAAGUGAUACUGUCGGACUAGAGUACAGAAGGGGGCAACUGGGAAUUCUCGGUGUAGCGGUGAAAUGCGUAGAUAUCGAGAGGAACACCUGCGGCGAAGGCGGGUUGCUGGGCUGAUACUGACGUGAGGCGCGAAAGCCAGGGGAGCGAACGGG
rnacentral:rRNA from 1 species